UCUAAAGACUGAAAAAUAUCAGAAUUGGUCACCAGUUCUGAAAUCUCUCUGGGUACCAUCAGAAGGGCUGGAUUUCUCCUUGAUUUCAUCCUACCUUUUAGGGUGAUCAGUACCAGCCAGAUUCUCUUUCUACUGACACAACUGGAAAGGGGGAUCCCUGGGUCUGGUUGGUGGAGACUCUGUGUCCUGGUUUCCAUGGUUACUGGAGCCAGCUGAAUGUCCAGGUUCUGCCCCGAGUCCACACUGUAUACCCUGCUGCUUUCUGAAAAAGCCAGAAAUAAUCAUUUGGGUGGCACCAGGUAGUGUAGCAUAGUCACAGCAUCAUGAAGACAAAGACCUGGACAUCUUUGGGAGCCAUUAUUCUGCCAACCAUGGACUCUGAGCUCUGAAGGCAGAAAGAACAUCUUAUUCCUGCUGGAUUUCAGUCUCCAGGACAUGCCCUGCUCUUAGCAUGGUACCAUGACCAAGAUGCUCCUCAAUCGUGACUGGUGACAGUGUGGAGUGGCACGUUAUAGCCCUGGCACUGAGACGUCUUGCAGAUGAAGGCCAGCUCUGUGACAGGUCUCUGAAAGCUGACUCUGUCCGUCUCCAGCCUGGCAAAUGAGAGGUGAUGGGAGGCGAAGAAUCAACAACUUCCAAGUUCCUCCCUCAGGCCAGGAAAACACCUGGGCCUUGGAACCUGAACCUAAAUUCAAGGGAUGAACCUUCCACUUACCGAGGGCACCAACCCUGGGCCAUUGACUUGAGCUCCC